rnacentral:rRNA from 4 species
GAAGAAUUCAGAGAUGGAUUUGUGCCUUCGGGAACCGUGAGACAGGUGCUGCAUGGCUGUCGUCAGCUCGUGUUGUGAAAUGUUGGGUUAAGUCCCGCAACGAGCGCAACCCUUAUCCUUUGUUGCCAGCGGUCCGGCCGGGAACUCAAAGGAGACUGCCAGUGAUAAACUGGAGGAAGGUGGGGAUGACGUCAAGUCAUCAUGGCCCUUACGACCAGGGCUACACACGUGCUACAAUGGCGCAUACAAAGAGAAGCGACCUCGCGAGAGCAAGCGGACCUCAUAAAGUGCGUCGUAGUCCGGAUUGGAGUCUGCAACUCGACUCCAUGAAGUCGGAAUCGCUAGUAAUCGUGGAUCAGAAUGCCACGGUGAAUACGUUCCCGGGCCUUGUACACACCGCCCGUCACACCAUGGGAGUGGGUUGCAAAAGAAGUAGGUAGCUUAACCUUCGGGAGGGCGCUUACCACUUUGUGAUUCAUGACUGGGGUGAAGUCGUAACAAGGUAACCGUAGGGGAACCUGCGGUUGGAUCACCUCCUUACCUUAAAGAAGC